CAGCCGCCACGGUAAUACGUAGAGUGCGAGCGUUAAUCGGAAUUACUGGGCGUAAAGCGUGCGCAGGCGGUUGUGUAAGACAGGUGUGAAAUCCCCGGGCUUAACCUGGGAACUGCGCUUGUGACUGCACAGCUAGAGUAUGGCAGAGGGGGGUGGAAUUCCACGUGUAGCAGUGAAAUGCGUAGAGAUGUGGAGGAACACCGAUGGCGAAGGCAGCCCCCUGGGCCAAUACUGACGCUCAUGCACGAAAGCGUGGGGAGCAAACAGGAUUAGAUACCCGAGUAGUCCCUGUCUCUUAUAU
rnacentral:rRNA from 1 species